rnacentral:rRNA from 1 species
UGAGUACGAGCUGCUACGGCAGCGAAGUGGGUGAUGUCAAGCUUCCAAGAAAAGCCCUAUACCCGUUAAGGCAUGAUGGCCUGUACCCGAAACCGACACAGGUGGGGUGGUAGAGAAUACCGAGGGGCGCGAGAUAACUCUCUCUAAGGAACUCGGCAAAAUGGCCCCGUAACUUCGGGAGAAGGGGUGCCACCGCAAGGUGGUCGCAGUGAAGAGGCCCAGGCGACUGUUUACCAAAAACACAGGUCUCCGCUAAGUCGCAAGACGAUGUAUGGGGGCUGACGCCUGCCCAGUGCCGGAAGGUUAAGGAAGCUGGUCAGCGUAAGCGAAGCUAGCGACUGAAGCCCCGGUGAACGGCGGCCGUAACUAUAACGGUCCUAAGGUAGCGAAAUUCCUUGUCGGGUAAGUUCCGACCCGCACGAAAGGCGUAACGAUCUGGGCGCUGUCUCGGAGAGAGGCUCGGCGAAAUAGAAUUGUCUGUGAAGAUGCGGACUACGUGCACCCGGACAGAAAGACCCUAUGAAGCUUUACUGUAGCUUGGUAUUGUGCCCGGGCUCUGAAUGCGCAGGAUAGGUGGGAGGCUUUGAUCCAUUGCUUGUGGGUGAUGGUGAGCCAACGGUGAGAUACCACUCUUUCAGAGCUAGGGUUCUAACGGUCACCCGUCAUCCGGGGACCGGACAGUAUCAGGUGGGCAGUUUGACUGGGGCGGUCGCCUCCUAAAAGGUAACGGAGGCGCGCAAAGGUUUGCUCAGGCUGGUUGGAAAUCAGCCGACGAGUGUAAAAGCAGAAGCAAGCUUGACUGUGAGACCUACAAGUCGAACAGGGACGAAAGUCGGCUUUAGUGAUCCGACGGUUCUGAGUGGAAGGGCCGUCGCUCAACGGAUAAAAGUUACUCUAAGGAUAACAGGCUGAUCUCCCCCAAGAGUUCACAUCGACGGGGAGGUUUGGCACCUCGAUGUCGGCUCAUCGCAACCUGGGGCUGAAGUCGGUCCCAAGGGUUGGGCUGUUCGCCCAUUAAAGCGGUACGCGAGCUGGGUUCAGAACGUCGUGAGACAGUUCGGUCCAUAUCCGGUGCAUGCGCAGGAAUAUUGAGAGGAUUUCUCCCUAGUACGAGAGGACCGGGAGGAACGCACCUCUGGUGUGCCAGUUAUCGUGCCAACGGUAAACGCUGGGUAGCCAUGUGCGGAGAGGAUAACCGCUGAAAGCAUCUAAGUGGGAAGCCCACCUCAAGAUGAGUAUUCCCAUGGCGUUAGCCAGUAAGGUCACGGGCAGAACACCCGUUGAUAGGCUCUACGUGGAAGCCGGGUAACCGGUGAAGCGGAGGAGUACUAAUAGACCGAGGGC